rnacentral:sRNA from 1 species
AUGGUUUAUAAUUAAUUAUUUAACUAUUUUGCUGCUUAAAUUAUCCGAUGUUAGGCCAGUGAGAGCCUCUCCAAACUGUGUCCUGUGUCUUUGUGGCAUGCUCCCAUUUGAUUUUGCUCCUCACUUUCUAGUACAACAAGAUAUUACAGGUUCAUCAUGCACCUGCUCUGCCCAGUCCUGGAACUGGCCAUUUCUCGGCGGAGCUUCGAGGAGCUUUUUAGGGGAGAAUGGUAUUAGAACCCAAGAUCUAGGUGCAAGGUUACUGAGCUCCUUGUUACUGAGAUGUCUUUGCCUCUUGUCUUUUUCAGUGGACAGAGCUAGAAAAUAUAUGCUUGUAUCCUGUGUGUACACAUACAUAUAUACAAAUAUACAUCCAUACAUAUACACACACACAAUAAUUUAAAUACAGAUGUGCACACAAACAUAGGUUUGCUGCAUUUCUAACCAUGAUUUUAAGAUCUUUUCAGUUUUGUAAUGUAGGGAAUUAUUUACAUACAGGUUAUACAUUUACAGGCAGAUUUGUAAGUGUUGCACCCGUUUUAUAAAAAGAGCUGGUGAAUUAAAGAGUAAUUGUAUUUUUCUUUCUUUCUUUCUUUUUUUUCUGAGAUGGGAUCUCACUCUGUUGCCCAAGCUGGGAUGCAGUGGCAUGAUCGCAGCUCACUGCAGCUUUGACCUCCUGGGCUCAAGUGAUCCUCCUACCUCAGCCCCUCAAGUAGGCUGGGACCAAGGCGUGUGUCACCCCGUCAGGCUAAUUUUUGUAUUUUUUUUGUAGAGACAGGGUUUCGCCAUGUUGACCAGUGGUCUCAAGCUCCUGGGCUCAAGUAAUCCACCCGACUCGGUCUCCCAAAGUGCUGGGAUUACAGGCAUGAGCCACCGUGCCUGGCCAGAUUUUGUUUGGCUAUGCCACCACAGUCAUCCCCAGGGUCUAUACAUACUAUGUUUCAACUGUAUUAUUUGCCAUUUUUGGCAUUAGAAUGCUUCGGGAAGGCUUAAAGAUGAGCCCUGAUGAGGGUCAAGAGGAACUGGAAGAAGUUCAAGCUGAAUUAAAGAAGAAAGAUGAAGAAUUUCAACGAACCAAACUUUUAAAUGGACCGGGAGAUGUUGAAACGGGUACAAGCAUAACAGUACCUCAGAAAAAGUGGUUGCAUUUUAUUUCACCCAUUUUUGUUCAAGCUCUUACAUUAACAUUCUUAGCAGAAUGGGGUGAUCGCUCUCAACUAACUACAAUUGUAUUGGCAGCUAGAGAGGACCCCUAUGGUGUAGCCGUGGGUGGAACUGUGGGGCACUGCCUGUGCACGGGAUUGGCAGUAAUUGGAGGAAGAAUGAUAGCACAGAAAAUCUCUGUCAGAACUGUGACAAUCAUAGGAGGCAUCGUUUUUUUGGCGUUUGCAUUUUCUGCACUAUUUAUAAGCCCUGAUUCUGGUUUUUAACAAGCUGUUUGUUCAUCUAUAUUUAGUUUAAAAUAGGUAGUAUUAUCUUUCUGUACAUAGUGUACAUUACAACUAAAAGUGAUGGAAAAAUAC